rnacentral:lncRNA from 1 species
GACCACUACACACCUCUGAUCUGACCGAAUCAGAACCCAAACCUUCCCAUGAGAUUACCUUCUCAUCCUCUUGAAAAUUAGGGCAUUGGGGCAUCCAAAAUCUGAAGCUAUACUGUAAAAGAGAAAGAAUCCCUGCAACCUUUUGCAAAACUGCAGCCUUUGGAUUCUACACCUUGUUCUUCCUCUCCCAAAAUUCUAUC